rnacentral:rRNA from 1 species
UACGAGGGGGGCGAGCGUUGUUCGGAAUUAUUGGGCGUAAAGGGUGCGUAGGCGGCCUGACAAGUCUGAUGUGAAAUCCCUGGGCUCAACCCAGGGCCUGCAUCGGAAACUGUCGGGCUUGAGUAUGGGAGAGGUGAGUGGAAUUUCCGGUGUAGCGGUGAAAUGCGUAGAUAUCGUCUGGAACGCCGAAGGUGAAAACAGCUCGCUGGGGCUGCGCUGACGCUGAGACACGAAAGCCAGGGGAGCGAACGGG